rnacentral:rRNA from 1 species
CCUACGGGAGGCAGCAGUGAGGAAUAUUGGUCAAUGGCCGUAAGGCUGAACCAGCCACGUAGCGUGAGGGCAGACUGCCCUAUGGGUUGUAAACCUCUUUUAUGCGGGGAUAAAGGUGUCCACGUGUGGAUGUUUGCAGGUAGCGCAUGAAUAAGGACCGGCUAAUUCCGUGCCAGCAGCCGCGGUAAUACGGAAGGUCCGGGAGUUAUCCGGAUUUAUUGGGUGUAAAGGGAGCGUAGGCCGGUCUUUAAGCGUGCCGGGAAAUGUUGUGGCUCAACUAUGGGAGUGCGGCGCUUACUGGAGACAUAGAGUGCGCGGAAGGCAGGCGGAAUUCGUGGUGUAGCGGUGAAAUGCUUAGAUAUCACGAAGAACCCCGAUUGCGAAGGCAGCCUGCCGCAGCGUAACUGACGCUGAAGCUCGAAAGCGCGGGUAGCGAACAGGAUUAGAUACCCGAGUAGUC